rnacentral:pre_miRNA from 1 species
CAUGUACUCCCUCUGUCCGGAAAUACUUGUCAUCUAAAUGAAUAAAAGGGGAUGUAUUUAGAUGUAUUUUAGUUUUAGUACAUCCUUUUUUGUCCAUUUUGAUGACAAGUAUUUUCGGACGGAGGGAGUACGUG